UCAGCCGGCCGGGCGGCCGCUCCGUUCGCGGAGAGGAAAGUCCGGGCUCCAUGGAGACACGGUGCCGGAUAACGUCCGGCGGGGGCAACCCUAGGGAAAGUGCCACAGAAAGCAGACCGCCUCGCUUCGCGAGGUAAGGGUGAAAGGGUGCGGUAAGAGCGCACCGCGGACGCAGUAAUGCGGACGGCACGGCAAACCCCACCAGGAGCAAAACCGAAUAGGGACGACAGGCGUUCGCGCCAGGCUUGUUUCCAGCCUCGUCGUCCGGGUUGGUUGCUUGAGGCGGCCAGCAAUGGCCGUCCCAGAGGAAUGGUCGCCACGUUCAAGGUUCGCGCCUUGGGCCCUACAGAACCCGGCUUACAGGCCGGCUGACAAC
rnacentral:RNase_P_RNA from 1 species